GGCAAGGAGCUCCCAGCAGGGUAUGGAGAGUGUGGUUCCCCUCCCUGAGAGAAGCCUGAGAUCCUCGUGGACGACUGAUUCUGCCCGGGUUGGCCUUUCGUGGGGUACUCCAGCUCGAUGGGUAAACUGAGGUAGAGACGUCAAGUCACUCCAGAUGCCCAGGAAGAACUAAGACUCUCACCCGAGCCCGGAGUCUCCCAGCAAGGCUCCGUUUCUCCCAUCAGGUCGGAUGGGAAGCGAUGGACCCAGACCGGCCCCUCUGCGACCCCAGAAGAUCCUACUCAUCAUGGAUGUGGCUGCUCCCCUCCUCUGUUCCAUCACCUUCCACGGUUCCCGGAAGCCCUACAAGGCUGGCCUAGGCCCACCCAUCUCGCUGGCUCUUUGCUAUCUUCUCACUUUCUUCCUACAUCUUCCCUGAACACCUACUGUGCGCCAGGCAGGAGUCCAGGCCCUAGGGAUUCAGGAGUAAUCCAAACAGACCCAGUGCCUGUCGUUGAACUUAUCUCCGGUGUGGGGAAAAGCAGAGGACAGGGAAUAUUUGUUGACCUAAGUUGUUCACAGCGAUCAAUGCUGUAAAGAUAAAGCCAGCAGGAGAGAGGGGGUGGUGGUGAUGGCCAGAGUGCAGUGGCUGCGGGGAGAGUGUGUGCCACCAUGCUCAGUCACCCUCAGACUGGAAAAGGAUGCCAAGUAGAAUGAAGCCCCAAGCAAGGGGAAGGGCCAGAGCUCUACCCACCUGCAGUGGGUCCAGGCAAAGAUGUGUGUCUUCCAGUAUCCUGGUUCUCUGCUGUGUGCCCCUACUUGACGCCUCAGGCCUCAGUUUCUUUAUCUGUAAAAUGGUCCUUCCUUCAACAGGCAUGUUCAAGAAUUGUUUGCGAACUGCAGCUGAAGCCCCGAGCCAAGGUCAGAGCAUAAUAGAUGUUCAGUGGCUGGCAGCCA